rnacentral:tRNA from 1 species
GGAGGGUACAGCUCAGUGGUAGAGUGUGGGCUUAGCAGGUACAAGGUCCUGGGUUCAACCCAGAUCCUUCC